UACGUAGGGGGGGAGAGAAAAGAGGAAUUACUGGGCGUAAAGCGUGCGCAGGCGGUUUUGUAAGACAGAUGUGAAAUCCCCGGGCUUAACCUGGGAACUGCAUUUGUGACUGCAAGACUAGAGUGCGGCAGAGGGGGGUAGAAUUCCACGUGUAGCAGUGAAAUGCGUAGAUAUGUGGAGGAAUACCGAUGGCGAAGGCAGCCCCCUGGGUCGACACUGACGCUCAUGCACGAAAGCGUGGGGAGCAAACAGG
rnacentral:rRNA from 1 species